rnacentral:rRNA from 1 species
UGCAGUCGAACGAUGAUGCCCAGCUUGCUGGGCGGAUUAGUGGCGAACGGGUGAGUAAUACGUGAGUAACCUGCCCUUGACUCUGGGAUAAGCCUGGGAAACUGGGUCUAAUACUGGAUACUACCUCUCACCGCAUGGUGGGUGGUGGAAAGGGUUUUACUGGUUUUGGAUGGGCUCACGGCCUAUCAGCUUGUUGGUGGGGUAAUGGCUCACCAAGGCGACGACGGGUAGCCGGCCUGAGAGGGUGACCGGCCACACUGGGACUGAGACACGGCCCAGACUCCUACGGGAGGCAGCAGUGGGGAAUAUUGCACAAUGGGCGGAAGCCUGAUGCAGCGACGCCGCGUGAGGGAUGACGGCCUUCGGGUUGUAAACCUCUUUCAGUAGGGAAGAAGCGAGAGUGACGGUACCUGCAGAAGAAGCGCCGGCUAACUACGUGCCAGCAGCCGCGGUAAUACGUAGGGCGCAAGCGUUGUCCGGAAUUAUUGGGCGUAAAGAGCUCGUAGGCGGUUUGUCGCGUCUGCUGUGAAAGCCCGGGGCUCAACCCCGGGUCUGCAGUGGGUACGGGCAGACUAGAGUGCAGUAGGGGAGACUGGAAUUCCUGGUGUAGCGGUGAAAUGCGCAGAUAUCAGGAGGAACACCGAUGGCGAAGGCAGGUCUCUGGGCUGUUACUGACGCUGAGGAGCGAAAGCAUGGGGAGCGAACAGGAUUAGAUACCCUGGUAGUCCAUGCCGUAAACGUUGGGCACUAGGUGUG